rnacentral:rRNA from 1 species
GACGAACGCUGGCGGCGUGCUUAACACAUGCAAGUCGAACGGAAAGGCCCCUUUGGGGGUACUCGAGUGGCGAACGGGUGAGUAACACGUGAGUAACCUGCCCUUGACUUCGGGAUAACUUCAGGAAACUGGGGCUAAUACCGGCUAGGAAUCCUUGCUGCAUAGUGGGGGUUGGCAAGCUUCGGCGGUUUUGGGUGGACUCGCGGCUUAUCAGCUUGUUGGUGGGGUAGUGGCUUACCAAGGCUUUGACGGGUAGACGGCCUGGGAGGGCGACCGGCCACAUUGGGACGGAGAUAAGGCCCAGACUCCUACGGGAGGCAGCAGUGGUGAAUAUUGCACAAUGGGCGGAAGCCUGAUGCAGCAACGCCGCGUGCGGGAUGACGGCCUUCGGGUUGUAAGCCGCUUUCAGCAGGGGCGAAGCUUGUGGUGACGGUACCUGCAGAAGAAGCACCGGCUAACUACGUG